rfam:Deltaproteobacteria bacterium GWA2_45_12 gwa2_scaffold_905, whole genome shotgun sequence.
CCAUCCCAUCAUGAAAAUGACCCUCCGUUGGGUUAGGGGAAGCUGGUGAGAGUCCAGCGCGGUCCCGCCACUGUAAUCCCUUCGGGGUAAGUCAGGAUACCUAUCCAAUGUUGUAGGGGCGA